AUUGAACGCUGGCGGCAUGCUUUACACAUGCAAGUCGAACGGCAGCGCGGGCUUCGGCCUGGCGGCGAGUGGCGAACGGGUGAGUAAUACAUCGGAACGUGCCCUGUAGUGGGGGAUAGCUCGGCGAAAGCCGGAUUAAUACCGCAUACGACCUGAGGGUGAAAGCGGGGGAUCUUCGGACCUCGCGCUAUUGGAGCGGCCGAUGGCAGAUUAGCUAGUUGGUGGGGUAAAGGCCUACCAAGGCGACGAUCUGUAGCUGGUCUGAGAGGACGACCAGCCACACUGGGACUGAGACACGGCCCAGACUCCUACGGGAGGCAGCAGUGGGGAAUUUUGGACAAUGGGCGAAAGCCUGAUCCAGCAAUGCCGCGUGUGUGAUGAAGGCCUUCGGGUUGUAAAGCACUUUUGGCGGGAACGAAAAGGACUGUGCCAAUACCACGGUUCGAUGACGGUACCCGCAGAAUAAGCACCGGCUAACUACGUG
rnacentral:rRNA from 1 species